rnacentral:RNase_P_RNA from 1 species
UGAGUUGGCCGGACGGUCGCGCGUCUUACUGUUGCACCCAUUUUGGGCGUUGGUGAGGCUCGAGGAAAGUCCGGGCUCCGCAGAGCAGGGUGGUGGCUAACGGCCACCUGGGGUGACCCACGGGAAAGUGCCACAGAAAGCAGACAGCCAGGCUUUCGCUUGGUGAUGGUGAAACGGUGCGGUAAGAGCGCACCAGCGCGCUUGGUGACAGGCGCGGCUCGGCAAACCCCACCCGGAGCAAGGCCAGGCAGCGUGCGACUAACGGCGGCUCGCCGUUGUUUGCCCCAAGGCAGCGCGUGCGCGGGUAGGCUGCUCGAGUUUCGGAGCAAUCCGAAACCUAGAUAGAUGACCGUCAACAACAGAACCCGGCUUACAGGCCAACUCAUCCA